rfam:Triticum aestivum genome assembly, contig: Triticum_aestivum_CS42_TGACv1_scaffold_569543_7AS
UACGUACUCCCUCCGUUCCACAAUACAUGACUUCCAUUUGUCAAAAUAUAGAUGUAUCUAGACAUGUUUUAGUAUAUAGGUACAUCCAUUUUUGAACAAAUGGAAGUCAAGUAUUUUGGAAUGGAGGUAGUACUAU